CCUACGGGAGGCAGCAGUAGGGAAUUUUCGGCAAUGGGGGGAACCCUGACCGAGCAACGCCGCGUGAACGAAGAAGUUAUUCGUAAUGUAAAGUUCUUUUAACAGGGAAGAAAGAGAAAUUUGACGGUACCUGAAGAAUAAGCUCCGGCUAACUACGUGCCAGCAGCCGCGGUAAUACGUAGGGAGCGAGCGUGAUCCGGAAUUAUUGGGCGUAAGGGGAGCGUAGGUGCAUUGAAAGUCUUUUGUAAAAAUGCUGGGCUCAACCCAGUAGGGCAAAAGAAACUGCAAAGCUAGAGUAUGAGAGAGGCAAGUGGAACUACAUGUGUAGCGGUAAAAUGCGUAAAUAUAAGUAAGAACACCAGUGGCGAAGGCGGCUUGCUGGGUCGAUACUGACAUUGAGGCACGAAGGCGUGGGGAGCAAACAGGAUUAGAUACCCUUGUAGUC
rnacentral:rRNA from 1 species